AAAAAAACUACCUAACCUAAGCUAAAACUAUUGCCGAACCAAGUGCAGUGAAACAAACGAACGAUAACCAGACAGUGGCACGUAAACAGCUAGUUUUCAGUGAGACCUUUUCGGAUUCAUCCGGCCCAGUGUAGAGCAUAGUACUGUGCUAAACAACAACGUGUUCCAUCCAGCGCUUUCUAGCUCGACUAUUGUUCCGGCUCUUCCAGCCUAGUUCAUAGAACUUAGCCUUCUCAAGCCGCAUCCGAGUAACAGCUCGUGAAUCGUUUCGGCUCAUCCAGCCAAGUUUAUCGAACUUAGCCUUCUCAAGCCGCGUCCGAGUAACAGCUCGUGAAUAGUUCCGGCUCCUCCAGCCAAGUUCCGAGAACUUUGCUCUAUCAAGCCGUGUAACACUAUCAGGUUAGCAAUUCCCGCUGCAUGCAAAAACGGUUCAUGCUAACGCUUUCUUUCAUUAGCAGCCUUGGUCAGCUUUGCCUAGAAUCGUUCCGGUUGUAGGGAAAUCGACUCGAAACACUGAUUUUGUAAGUCAAAUUACUAUAAAACUAAAAUUAUGUCAUCUAACCAAAACUCAAUAAAUUACAGCUUGAAGCUGCUUUGCUAUCAAGACCGGUGUCCUUUUCCCCUCCUCCCCUACAUACA